rnacentral:tRNA from 1 species
UGUGGCUUAGUGGUAAAGUGCUUGCCUAGCAUGCAUGAAGCCCUGGGUUUGAUUCUCAGUA